rnacentral:rRNA from 1 species
AGCAGCCGCGGUAAUUCCAGCUCCAAUAGCGUAUAUUAAAGUUGCUGCAGUUAAAAAGCUCGUAGUUGAAUUUCGGGACUAAUAUGACGGUCGUGCCUCGGUACGUACUGGCUUAUUGGUUUCUCCUUUCUGAAGAACCAUGAUGUCAUUUAUUUGGUGUCGUGGGGAAUCAGGACUGUUACUUUGAAAAAAUUAGAGUGUUUAAAGCAGGCUCACGCUUGAAUACAUUAGCAUGGAAUAAUGAAAUAGGACGUUUGAUUCUAUUUUGUUGGUUUCUAGGAUCGACGUAAUGAUUAAUAGGGAUAGUUGGGGGCAUUAGUAUUCAAUUGUCAGAGGUGAAAUUCUUGGAUUUAUUGAAGACUAACUACUGCGAAAGCAUUUGCCAAGGAUGUUUUCAUUAAUCAAGAACGAAAGUUAGGGGAUCGAAGACGAUCAGAUACCGUCGUAGUCUUAACCAUAAACUAUGCCGACUAGGGAUCGGAUGAUGUUAAUUUUUUAAUGACUCAUUCGGCGCCUUACG